rnacentral:rRNA from 1 species
GACGAACGCUGGCGGCGUGCCUAAUACAUGCAAGUAGAACGCUGAAGAGAGGAGCUUGCUCUUCUUGGAUGAGUUGCGAACGGGUGAGUAACGCGUAGGUAACCUGCCUGGUAGCGGGGGAUAACUAUUGGAAACGAUAGCUAAUACCGCAUAAAAUGGAUUAUCGCAUGAUAAUCCAUUGAAAGGUGCAAAUGCAUCACUACCAGAUGGACCUGCGUUGUAUUAGCUAGUUGGUGGGGUAACGGCUCACCAAGGCGACGAUACAUAGCCGACCUGAGAGGGUGAUCGGCCACACUGGGACUGAGACACGGCCCAGACUCCUACGGGAGGCAGCAGUAGGGAAUCUUCGGCAAUGGACGGAAGUCUGACCGAGCAACGCCGCGUGAGUGAAGAAGGGUUUCGGAUCGUAAAGCUCGGUUGUAAGAGAAGAACGAGUGUGAGAGUGGAAAGUUCACAAUGUGACGGUAUCUUACCAGAAAGGGACGGCUAACUACGUG